GAAAUCCGACCGGAAGCCCCGGAUUCAGAAGGCAAUGAUCGAUCCCAGCGGGGAUUCAUCCGGAAACACCGAUAUGAGGCUCCGGAGCUCGAAAUCUUCGAAUCCGGAGAAGAAAUCCCGACCGGAAGCCCCGGAUUCAGAAGGCAACGAUCGAUCCCGGCGGGGAUUUUGAGGAUUUUGUUUUCGAGAGGCACCCGACGAUCAGAAGACAAUCCGGAACUGAGGGGCGUCAGACCC
rnacentral:lncRNA from 1 species